UCCGGUUUAUCACCGGCAGUCUCCACAGAGUUCUCGACUCUACUCGUUAGCAACUGUGGACAAGGGUUGCGCUCGUUGCGGGACUUAACCCAACAUCUCACGACACGAGCUGACGACAGCCAUGCACCACCUGUGCACUGGCCCCGAAGGGCUGCCGUAUUUCUACGACAUUCCAGUGCAUGUCAAGCCCUGGUAAGGCUCUUCGCGUUGCGUCGAAUUAAACCACAUGCUCCGCUGCUUGUGCGGGUCCCCGUCAAUUCCUUUGAGUUUUAGCCUUGCGGCCGUACUCCCCAGGCGGGAUGCUUAAUGCGUUAGCUGCGCCACUGACGGGCAAGCCCGCCAACGGCUGGCAUCCAUCGUUUACGGCGUGGACUAC
rnacentral:misc_RNA from 1 species